rnacentral:lncRNA from 1 species
GCGGGGUUUCCACCCCUCCCGCUCGGAACCGCGGCAUGCGAGGCGGGCCCUGGGAAGCCGCGUCUGCGGGAGCGGUGGUGAACCGCUCAGGGUGCGGCGCGAGCCCGAGGGGGUUAAGCGCGACGUUCGCGGGCGCGGCGCGGACGGGAGCGCGCGGGCGCGGGGAUGGAGGACGGCGGGGCCCGGCCGCGGCUCGGGGCGGAGGCGGAGGCGGCCGGGGCGCGAGCGCGGCCGGGGGGCACGCUGCGACCCUUCGCGCCGUUCCCGGGGGCGGCCGAGGCCGACGAGAGCGGCGGCGACUGGAGCUUCAUCGACUGCGAGAUGGAGGAGGUGGACCUGCAGGACCUGCCCAGCGCCACCAUCGCCUGCCACCUGGACCCGCGCGUGUUCGUGGACGGCCUGUGCCGGAGCCUGAGACUUGAAUGAGCGCACUGACCCAGUCCCUUAAGUACUGUUUACCGGCUCAUCACAAAAAUCUGAGGGCUGAGCUGAACCUGUUGCAGUACUAUUUUAUGGAUUUUCCGGAAGGAGCAUUUGGGUGCAGCCAUCCUGGCUGACAGAGUCAGAUGGCUGAAAUGGAAAGGUUGAUGUUGCCAGUUAGGAGCUACGCAACCAAGGGCAAGUCAUCUGAACUCGCCAGCCUCUCUUCCUCACCUGUAAAGGUAAGCCUAAAAGCACCCAUCCUGUCAUCCUCUUGGGGGUUAGGGAGACUCAAAUGAGUUAACCUAUGUGAAAGAUCUUGUCAGCUUCAAAGUGGAAAUUGGAUGUAACUUAGAGUCAUCGUCAGUGAGAGCCUACAGAAUAAACUGGAAAAUGCGAGCUACCAUUAGAAGAUUGUCAGGACCUGCAUGGAACCAGGUUCCGGGUAUUUUAACUGUCUUAAUGCAGAGAACAAGGGGUUAUUUCAGAGCAUGGCAUUUGAAGCAUUAGGCUUAUUAGACCAUGACUGCAUGACAUUUGUGCACUCACAAAUGGGUUCUUUAUCUUCCUCUUUGCCUCUGAAAUUUAUAAAAAUGCUUUGGUGGCUGCCCAUAAUAGGAUUCUUUACGGAACUGUAUAUUAAAUUGCAUUUGAACUCAUUCUUGAGCAUAUAACCCAUUAUCCAGAACAAACAGGGUUUGGUGGCAGUUCUUACAGAAGAAUCCUGUACUGAGAAUUAAUCCUAGAUUGUAUUAAACUUCCUGACCCUACUUAAUUUGUCAGGCAUGGUUUCUUUUAUGUUUUCCCCCUAAUUCUGGCCUUGUUCCAAAUUUUCCAACUAUUCCUGGAAUAAGUAGGCUAUGUUCAUCCGUCUUUGCACUCACAAUUUCCAGUGACUCUAAUGGGAAUUUCAUGCAACUAGGAUGACAGCAAUUUAU